rnacentral:rRNA from 1 species
UUAAGCGACUAAGCGUACACGGUGGAUGCCCUGGCAGUCAGAGGCGAUGAAGGACGUGCUAAUCUGCGAUAAGCGUCGGUAAGGUGAUAUGAACCGUUAUAACCGGCGAUUUCCGAAUGGGGAAACCCAGUGUGUUUCGACACACUAUCAUUAACUGAAUCCAUAGGUUAAUGAGGCGAACCGGGGGAACUGAAACAUCUAAGUACCCCGAGGAAAAGAAAUCAACCGAGAUUCCCCCAGUAGCGGCGAGCGAACGGGGAGCAGCCCAGAGCCUGAAUCAGUGUGUGUGUUAGUGGAAGCGUCUGGAAAGGCGCGCGAUACAGGGUGACAGCCCCGUACACAAAAAUGCACAUGCUGUGAGCUCGAUGAGUAGGGCGGGACACGUGGUAUCCUGUCUGAAUAUGGGGGGACCAUCCUCCAAGGCUAAAUACUCCUGACUGACCGAUAGUGAACCAGUACCGUGAGGGAAAGGCGAAAAGAACCCCGGCGAGGGGAGUGAAAAAGAACCUGAAACCGUGUACGUACAAGCAGUGGGAGCACGCUUAGGCGUGUGACUGCGUACCUUUUGUAUAAUGGGUCAGCGACUUAUAUUCUGUAGCAAGGUUAACCGAAUAGGGGAGCCGAAGGGAAACCGAGUCUUAACUGGGCGUUAAGUUGCAGGGUAUAGACCCGAAACCCGGUGAUCUAGCCAUGGGCAGGUUGAAGGUUGGGUAACACUAACUGGAGGACCGAACCGACUAAUGUUGAAAAAUUAGCGGAUGACUUGUGGCUGGGGGUGAAAGGCCAAUCAAACCGGGAGAUAGCUGGUUCUCCCCGAAAGCUAUUUAGGUAGCGCCUCGUGAAUUCAUCUCCGGGGGUAGAGCACUGUUUCGGCAAGGGGGUCAUCCCGACUUACCAACCCGAUGCAAACUGCGAAUACCGGAGAAUGUUAUCACGGGAGACACACGGCGGGUGCUAACGUCCGUCGUGAAGAGGGAAACAACCCAGACCGCCAGCUAAGGUCCCAAAGUCAUGGUUAAGUGGGAAACGAUGUGGGAAGGCCCAGACAGCCAGGAUGUUGGCUUAGAAGCAGCCAUCAUUUAAAGAAAGCGUAAUAGCUCACUGGUCGAGUCGGCCUGCGCGGAAGAUGUAACGGGGCUAAACCAUGCACCGAAGCUGCGGCAGCGACGCUUAUGCGUUGUUGGGUAGGGGAGCGUUCUGUAAGCCUGUGAAGGUGUGCUGUGAGGCAUGCUGGAGGUAUCAGAAGUGCGAAUGCUGACAUAAGUAACGAUAAAGCGGGUGAAAAGCCCGCUCGCCGGAAGACCAAGGGUUCCUGUCCAACGUUAAUCGGGGCAGGGUGAGUCGACCCCUAAGGCGAGGCCGAAAGGCGUAGUCGAUGGGAAACAGGUUAAUAUUCCUGUACUUGGUGUUACUGCGAAGGGGGGACGGAGAAGGCUAUGUUGGCCGGGCGACGGUUGUCCCGGUUUAAGCGUGUAGGCUGGUUUUCCAGGCAAAUCCGGAAAAUCAAGGCUGAGGCGUGAUGACGAGGCACUACGGUGCUGAAGCAACAAAUGCCCUGCUUCCAGGAAAAGCCUCUAAGCAUCAGGUAACAUCAAAUCGUACCCCAAACCGACACAGGUGGUCAGGUAGAGAAUACCAAGGCGCUUGAGAGAACUCGGGUGAAGGAACUAGGCAAAAUGGUGCCGUAACUUCGGGAGAAGGCACGCUGAUAUGUAGGUGAAGUCCCUCGCGGAUGGAGCUGAAAUCAGUCGAAGAUACCAGCUGGCUGCAACUGUUUAUUAAAAACACAGCACUGUGCAAACACGAAAGUGGACGUAUACGGUGUGACGCCUGCCCGGUGCCGGAAGGUUAAUUGAUGGGGUUAGCGCAAGCGAAGCUCUUGAUCGAAGCCCCGGUAAACGGCGGCCGUAACUAUAACGGUCCUAAGGUAGCGAAAUUCCUUGUCGGGUAAGUUCCGACCUGCACGAAUGGCGUAAUGAUGGCCAGGCUGUCUCCACCCGAGACUCAGUGAAAUUGAACUCGCUGUGAAGAUGCAGUGUACCCGCGGCAAGACGGAAAGACCCCGUGAACCUUUACUAUAGCUUGACACUGAACAUUGAGCCUUGAUGUGUAGGAUAGGUGGGAGGCUUUGAAGUGUGGACGCCAGUCUGCAUGGAGCCGACCUUGAAAUACCACCCUUUAAUGUUUGAUGUUCUAACGUGGACCCGUAAUCCGGGUUGCGGACAGUGUCUGGUGGGUAGUUUGACUGGGGCGGUCUCCUCCUAAAGAGUAACGGAGGAGCACGAAGGUUGGCUAAUCCUGGUCGGACAUCAGGAGGUUAGUGCAAUGGCAUAAGCCAGCUUGACUGCGAGCGUGACGGCGCGAGCAGGUGCGAAAGCAGGUCAUAGUGAUCCGGUGGUUCUGAAUGGAAGGGCCAUCGCUCAACGGAUAAAAGGUACUCCGGGGAUAACAGGCUGAUACCGCCCAAGAGUUCAUAUCGACGGCGGUGUUUGGCACCUCGAUGUCGGCUCAUCACAUCCUGGGGCUGAAGUAGGUCCCAAGGGUAUGGCUGUUCGCCAUUUAAAGUGGUACGCGAGCUGGGUUUAGAACGUCGUGAGACAGUUCGGUCCCUAUCUGCCGUGGGCGCUGGAGAACUGAGGGGGGCUGCUCCUAGUACGAGAGGACCGGAGUGGACGCAUCACUGGUGUUCGGGUUGUCAUGCCAAUGGCACUGCCCGGUAGCUAAAUGCGGAAGAGAUAAGUGCUGAAAGCAUCUAAGCACGAAACUUGCCCCGAGAUGAGUUCUCCCUGACCCUUUAAGGGUCCUGAAGGAACGUUGAAGACGACGACGUUGAUAGGCCGGGUGUGUAAGCGCAGCGAUGCGUUGAGCUAACCGGUACUAAUGAACCGUGAGGCUUAACCUU